CUUCGGGAACUCUGAGACAGGCGCUGCAUGUCUGUCGUCAGCUCGUGUUGUGAAAUGUCGGGUUAAGUCCCGGCAAACGGNAGNGNCCAACCCUUUUAUCCUUGGUUGCCAGCGGUUCGGCCGGGAACUCAAAGGAGACUGCCAGUGAUAAACUGGAGGAAGGUGGGGAUGACGUCAAGUCAUCAUGGCCCUUACGAGUAGGGCUACACACGUGCUACAAUGGCGCAUACAAAGAGAAGCGACCUCGCGAGAGCAAGCGGACCUCAUAAAGUGCGUCGUAGUCCGGAUUGGAGUCUGCAACUCGACUCCAUGAAGUCGGAAUCGCUAGUAAUCGUAGAUCAGAAUGCUACGGUGAAUACGUUCCCGGGGUCUUGUACACCCG
rnacentral:rRNA from 1 species